CAUAACAAAUAUUAAUAUGAACAAAACCCAAUCAGAAUUUAAUUGACAGCAUGAUUAAUCUAAUUAAAUAAAAUUAACAAGAAUUAAUUUUCAUGAAGGGAGGGGGUGUAGGAAAAACAGGAGUGUGCAAUGAGAAAAAAACUCGUUUGGGCCUUAGGUCCAAACCAGACCCAAUGCCAAACACAAAAACGCGUUCACUAGUGGAAGCAACGGAUCCAAACGCAGCUUCAAGGGAUUAGGUCACGGAUCGAUUCCCAGUGGUGGCACCUUCAAUCCAAGCAUUCUCUCCUUCUCUUCUAAACAAAUGCGAGAAACGUCGACAUGAAUAUUCUGCUUCAAUAAUGAACUUCACGCCUCUCUGGAUCUCGAUCUCUGAUUUUCAACGAUGAAUCUUCCUAUUCGAAGUUAACCUUCACCAAAUUGGAUCUGUUUGCAUGCGAAGCUAAGAAGAAAGCGGACGACUCAACAACUGAAGCAAGAAUGUAUGAGAAGACUUACCGGAUUUAAACUCCGACGCGGCGGUUCAACAGGACCUAUUACAACGGGAGAAAACUAGUUGUUUCACGUGAGAUUCCAUCUGCUGCAGAGCUCAUUUGAUGAUUCUGUUUCUGGUGAAAAUACUAUGCUAUGGAAGCAAAACCACAUUCUUGUGACAACAUCAUAUAAUUCAGAUGGAGUUUUUAUAUUGUUAAGUUGAGCAGGUAUUUCUUUGAUGCGAUAUGCUUGAAAUUCCAACUCUAUCAACAAUUUUCCAUGCUCCACGACCAUAUUCUCCAAGGUGUUGACUAAGUUUUCCAUUGUUUAGAUAUCUUAUAUGAUCAUGCAAGGAGAGAGCUUGAGAAUUCUUUGUUAUUUUAGCAAGCAUAGUCUUCUGUAUCGACCAAGUCAUCAGGGCCAGUAUUACAGUGGGGCUUAUUUUGUAUUGUCUGUUCAAUUUGUGUCUUGAGGUCAUGUAGAGUGGUGUAAUACAUAUUGUAGAUGACACCCUCAAUAUUUGAGCUCAAUUGACUUUCAUCAGUGUCGUUUA